rnacentral:rRNA from 1 species
AUUGUACGCUGGCGGCAGGCCUAACACAUGCAAGUCGAGCGGAUGAGGGGAGCUUGCUCCCUGAUUUAGCGGCGGACGGGUGAGUAAUGCCUAGGAAUCUGCCUGGUAGUGGGGGAUAACGUUCCGAAAGGAACGCUAAUACCGCAUACGUCCUACGGGAGAAAGCAGGGGACCUUCGGGCCUUGCGCUAUCAGAUGAGCCUAGGUCGGAUUAGCUAGUUGGUGAGGUAAUGGCUCACCAAGGCGACGAUCCGUAACUGGUCUGAGAGGAUGAUCAGUCACACUGGAACUGAGACACGGUCCAGACUCCUACGGGAGGCAGCAGUGGGGAAUAUUGGACAAAGGGCGAAAGCCUGAUCCAGCCAUGCCGCGUGUGUGAAGAAGGUCUUCGGAUUGUAAAGCACUUUAAGUUGGGAGGAAGGGCUGCUGGUUAAUACCCUGCAGUUUUGACGUUACCAACAGAAUAAGCACCGGCUAACUUCGUG